CCGCGUACCAAUUUAUCGGCUAUUACCGACGCACACGCACGGCACCCGCGCAAAAGUCCGCGGACACGUCGGGACGUUGACCGCCGCCACGCGUUAGUGGAGUUAACGGGAUAAAAGCCUCGACCGCCGGCGCGAUGUGGACUAUCGGUACUACGCGCACCGUAAACGCGGUACCGCAACUGUAUGCGGUAUUCGUACUCGCG